rnacentral:rRNA from 1 species
GGCAGCAGCCGCGGUAACACCGGCAGCUCUAGUGGUAGCAAUUUUAUUGGGCCUAAAGCGUCCGUAGCCGGUUUAAUAAGUCUCUGGUGAAAUCCUGCAGCUUAACUGUGGGAAUGCUGGAGAUACUAUUAGACUUGAGACCGGGAGAGGUUAGAGGUACUCCCAGGGUACGAGGUGGAAAAUUCUGUAAUCCUGGGAGGACCGCCUGUUGCGAAGGCGUCUAACUGGGACGGUUCUGACGGUGAGGGACGAAAGUUAGGGGCGCGGACCGGAUUAGAUACCCGGGUAGUCCUAACUGUAAACGAUGCGGACUUGGUGUUGGGGUGGCUUUGAGCUGCUCCAGUGCCGAAGGGAAGCUGUUAAGUCCGCCGCCUGGGAAGUACGGUCGCAAGACUGAACUUAAAGGAAUUGGCGGGGGAGCACCACAACGCGUGGAGCCUGCGGUUUAAUUGGAUUCAACGCCGGACAUCUCACCAGAGGCGACAGCUGUAUGAUAGCCAGGUUGAUGACUUUGCUUGACUAGCUGAGGGGAGGUGCAUGG